rnacentral:rRNA from 1 species
CACGUAGGGUGCAAGCGUUAAUCGGAAUUACUGGGCGUAAAGCGUGCGCAGGCGGCUAUGCAAGACAGAUGUGAAAUCCCCGGGCUCAACCUGGGAACUGCAUUUGUGACUGCAUGGCUAGAGUACGGUAGAGGGGGAUGGAAUUCCGCGUGUAGCAGUGAAAUGCGUAGAUAUGCGGAGGAACACCGAUGGCGAAGGCAAUCCCCUGGACCUGUACUGACGCUCAUGCACGAAAGCGUGGGGAGCAAACAGG